rnacentral:rRNA from 1 species
AGAGUUUGAUCAUGGCUCAGGACGAACGCUGGCGGCGUGCCUAACACAUGCAAGUCGAACGGACGAGGCCCCUUCGGGGACCGAGUUAGUGGCGGACGGGUGAGUAACGCGUGAGCAACCUGCCUUUCAGAGGGGGACAACAGUUGGAAACGACUGCUAAUACCGCAUGAUGCAGCGAGAUCGCAUGGUCUUGCUGUCAAAGAUUUAUCGCUGAAAGAUGGGCUCGCGUCUGAUUAGCUAGUUGGAGGGGUAACGGCCCACCAAGGCGACGAUCAGUAGCCGGACUGAGAGGUUGAACGGCCACAUUGGGACUGAGAUACGGCCCAGACUCCUACGGGAGGCAGCAGUGGGGAAUACUGGGCAAUGGGGGAAACCCUGACCCAGCAACGCCGCGUGAAGGAAGAAGGCUUUCGGGUUGUAAACUUCUUUUACCAGGGACGAAGAACGUGACGGUACCUGGAGAAAAAGCCACGGCUAACUACGUGCCAGCAGCCGCGGUAAUACGUAGGUGGCAAGCGUUGUCCGGAUUUACUGGGUGUAAAGGGCGUGUAGGCGGAGCUGCAAGUCAGAUGUGAAAUCUGGGGCUUAACCCUCAAACUGCAUUUGAAACUGUAGCCCUUGAGUAUCGGAGAGGCAGGCGGAAUUCCUAGUGUAGCGGUGAAAUGCGUAGAUAUUAGGAAGAACACCAGUGGCGAAGGCGGCCUGCUGGACGACAACUGACGCUGAGGCGCGAAAGCGUGGGGAGCAAACAGGAUUAGAUACCCUGGUAGUCCACGCUGUAAACGAUGAAUACUAGGUGUGGGGGGACUGACCCCCUCCGUGCCGGAGUUAACACAAUAAGUAUUCCACCUGGGGAGUACGACCGCAAGGUUGAAACUCAAAGGAAUUGACGGGGGCCCGCACAAGCAGUGGAUUAUGUGGUUUAAUUCGACGCAACGCGAAGAACCUUACCGGGAUUUGACAUCCUACUAACGAAGCAGAGAUGCAUUAGGUGCCCUUCGGGGAAAGUAGAGACAGGUGGUGCAUGGUUGUCGUCAGCUCGUGUCGUGAGAUGUUGGGUUAAGUCCCGCAACGAGCGCAACCCCUAUUGUUAGUUGCUACGCAAGAGCACUCUAGCGAGACUGCCGUUGACAAAACGGAGGAAGGCGGGGACGACGUCAAAUCAUCAUGCCCCUUAUGUCCCGGGCUACACACGUAAUACAAUGGCGGUCAACAAAGGGAAGCAAAGCCGCGAGGCAGAGCAAACCCCCAAAAGCCGUCUCAGUUCGGAUUGCAGGCUGCAACUCGCCUGCAUGAAGCUGGAAUUGCUAGUAAUCGUGGAUCAGAAUGCCACGGUGAAUACGUUCCCGGGCCUUGUACACACCGCCCGUCACACCAUGAGAGUCGGGAACACCCGAAGUCCGUAGUCUAACCCGCAAGGGAGGGCGCGGCCGAAGGUGGGUCUGAUAAUUGGGGUGAAGUCGUAACAAGGUA